UGGGGAAUAUUGCACAAUGGAGGGAACUCUGAUGCAGCGACGCCGCGUGAACGAAGAAGGCUUUCGAGACGUAAAGUUCUUUUAUAUGGGAAGAUAAUGACGGUACCAUAAGAAAAAGCCCCGGCUAACUACGUGCCAGCAGCCGCGGUAAUACGUAGGGGGCUAGCGUUGUCCGGAAUCACUGGGCGUAAAGGGUUCGCAGGCGGAAAUGAAGUCAGGUGUAAAAGGCAGUAGCUUAACUACUGUAAGCAUUUGAAACUGCAUAUCUUGAGAAGAGUAGAGGUAAGUGGAAUUUUUAGUGUAGCGGUGAAAUGCGUAGAUAUUAAAAAGAAUACCGGUGGCGAAGGCGACUUACUGGGCUCAUUCUGACGCUGAGGAACGAAAGCGUGGGUAGCAAACAGG
rnacentral:rRNA from 1 species